UCAACUAACCUGGACCCUUGGGGGCUCUCAGA
rnacentral:piRNA from 1 species